CAAAAUGUUAGAAGCAGAAGGGUUUAACAUUGCAAAGUGCACUACCAUUAAAAAAACUAUAUAAAAAGGGCUCCUUAGCCAUUGAGAACACAAGGGACGCUCAAGAUCCAAUUAAGAGGUUAGUAGGAAUGCAAUUUUACGUAGCUGAACAAAGUUACAAGACUUUUAAAAACAAUUACGCAUUACAGCAAGAGAAAUUCAAACAUGUCAACUCUCAAGUAUUAUUUAAGUAGCAAUCUAUGCGCACUUGUAGAAAAGGAAAGAAAAGGGAAAGAUUAAACUGGUACACCAUUGAAAAGU
rnacentral:misc_RNA from 1 species